rnacentral:tRNA from 1 species
GCAGAUGUGGCGGAAUCGGUAGACGCUACAAACGACAGUUUGGGUUCCGCCCAGCAAAGCGGUGGAGGCCGACACUGUUAGGCUAUGUGAGGUUCAAAUCCUCACCAUCUGCACCA